rnacentral:rRNA from 1 species
CGCUUCUAACCGUCCGCGAGGACAAUACCUUGACAAUUUGACCUCAAAUCAGGUAGG